GUGCUCACUUUGGCAGCAUAUAUACUAAAAUUGGAAAGAUACAGUGAAGAUUAGCAUGGCCCCUGAGCAAGGAUUACACACAAAUUCAUAAAGCGAUUUUU
ensembl:snRNA U6 U6 spliceosomal RNA